ACGCUAGGGUUCAGCAGGGCCCGGGAUGCAGCGACGCAGAUUCAGCGGCGGACCUGAGCGACCGAGAGCUGCACCGAUUCAGCACAAACUCUGACCUAAUCUUCAAUUUACAGCGGGAAAUUAACACGACAGCUGCUCACUCACCCACGAGAAACUCUGCUGUCUUAUUUCGGCUUUAAUCUGAGAUGUUUCCGGAAACUUGUUAGCCUUGCUCACACAGCGGCUAAUAUUAGCUUUCUGUAUAACGCGCGGCUAAAGCGGCAGGCUAAUUAGCACAUACCACUAUCACAACAAUUUAAUGUGUUCUGCUUAAGUUCAAUGUGUUGUGUCUAUCACGUGAAGAGUUUUACAGUCUAGUGUAGGGAUAAACAUUGAAACAUACCCGCUGAAUUGGUUUAUUGGUUCGCUUAGCUCCCGUCGAUAGUGCUAACCAGCUAGCUUAGCUGUUUACUAGCUGGUAGCUAAUGGCUGCUUCCCUGCUGUAGAUCUGCUGAACACUCCCUCUCUUCCUGUCCUCACCGGCCCUCCGCGCUGCUUCCACAAACUUCUCCGACAUUUACUAAAUGAGGCUUUUCUUACCUGUCAGGGAAACGUAGAGUCGGAUGAUUUAUAGCCUUCAAUUAAUAAAUAUUUUAACUGUUUGGUGCAGUAAGUGGGAGGGUCAGAGUUCGUGACCUUUUUUUCAUAAAUAUAAGAGUCGCACAUGCGCAGUGGGGCGGCCUUGGUUCAUAGCGUUGCCCACUCAGAUUCGAAACUUUAAUGUCAAAGGAGCUCUGGGAUUAAAAACUGUCUGAAAUUUUAUAAUAUCAAGUAAUUUCAGAGAAGCGAUGCUACAUCAUUUGAUGUAAUUAAUGAAUGCAGCGAUCCAAGAGGACAGUUUAGGCUUUAUCACUAAUUUUUUUUCUCAUUUCAUGAGCAAUUCUAUAACAUUGAAUGGGAUAGAAUACAUUUGUCCACAAGGUAAAGAAUAGUGGUGAGCUUCAUGAAAACAUCACCCAUGGAUUCCAAACAAGUCUGCAUGCAAAAACAGGAGAUCAAGGAACACUUGAACUUCACUGUCAGUAUUAUUCAUGAACAGAAAUAUUUAAAAGUUGUAAUUUUACUUCACAAAAGUCAAACAAUCAGUUCAGUAACAGCUUGAAGUAAAAAGUUAACUUACUACUACUUACUACUGACACUGCUGCUAUCUUUAAUACAAAUAGUGUAAUAUAUUACCACUGCUGCUAUGUUAAAUCCUACCUCAUUAUUCUUUAUAUUUAUUUCCCUUUCCUAUUUGUGUAUAUAGUUUUCAUUGCACUAUUUGCCCUGCACUAGAGGAUUUUAUCUUGUAUAUAGUCUGUACCAAUUCUUUUUUUAUUACAACUAUUUUUUUUACUUUUAAUUGUCUCUGUUUUCUUUUUUAAUCUAUUGCACUGAAAAUAGAGAAGCUCUCCAAUCUUGUUGUACCUUAGUAUAAUGACAAUAAAGGGCAUUCUGAUUCUGAUCAUUGGCAUCUCCAAAGAAAACUUUGUUUAUGGAUGAGGAAGGACCAAUGUGCUGUUUUCGGCUUACUGCACAGUUUUAAUCAUAAUAUUAAUGUAGUUGCCCUUUGGACUAACCUUUUUUUUUUAAUCAUUUUGUUUUACCUUUAUUAACUAACCUUUUAUUACCUUUAUUAUAUUUUAUCAUGGUGUUAUCUUUUUAGUCCUAGAUCCAGUGUUUCCACAUCUUUUUUUCACUCAAGAUAGCGUUUCCUCAGUCAUCUGUGGCAAGUUAAAGAGUCCUUGCAUGUGCAUCUGUGUGUGUGAGUGCUAUAUGUGUUGAAUGGGGGUUGGGAGGGUGGGUGGAGUUUCGUAUUUUUAUUUAUUUUUAUUGUUUUUUUAAUACCCUGCACAAAUGAACAGCACUUUGGGCUACAUUCAAUGUAUGAAGUGCUUAAAAAAUAAAGUUUGAUUAAUUGAUUUUUGGUGACUACAUCGUUGUUUAAAGCAUCAGCCUGAACCUUAAAGUGUUCAAAAUAUGCCUCUCACCAAGGGUCACCUAUGGUUAUCCAUUUGUUUUAUCAACUGUAUGGAUCAUUUACAUACUUUGGUUGAAAUUCAUGUUGUUGAAGAAAUACAAAAUAUUACUUAUAAGAUCUGCUUUUAAAGCUUAUGAAGUACAGUCCAGUAUCUAUGUCUUAUAUCCUCUCAUUUCAUGUACAGCUCAAAGUGCUUUUGGUGUUUGUAAACCCACAUAAAACAGAAACGUAUGGCAAAUAUUUAUUUCAGUGACUGAAGUUGAACAGUCAAACUAACAUUCAUGGAAAUAAAACUACACAGCAUUUACACUUUAUAUUUACAGAUAAUGCACCUCAGAGAAUGGCUGAAUUUUAUCCAAUGACAGUUGAUUUAAAAAAAAAAAUCACAAUAAGUUUACAUGGUGUGUUCUUCUAUCAUCCUCACAAGCAUGAAAAGAAUCAUCCCCAAAUAAACACCUAUGAUUUCUAUUACGCUAAAAAAAUAAUGCAAAUUUUGUUUCAAUUGUCACAAAAAAAUAAAUCAUAUAUCUCCUGA